rnacentral:rRNA from 1 species
UACGUAGGGUGCAAGCGUUGUCCGGAAUUAUUGGGCGUAAAGAGCUCGUAGGCGGUUCGUCGCGUCGGCUGUGAAAUCCCGGAGCUCAACUCCGGGUCUGCAGUCGAUACGGGCUGGCUGGAGGCAGGCAGGGGAGAACGGAAUUCCUGGUGUAGCGGUGGAAUGCGCAGAUAUCAGGAGGAACACCGAUGGCGAAGGCAGGUCUCUGGGCCACUACUGACGCUGAGAAGCGAAAGCAUGGGGAGCGAACAGG